UAGCACAAUACAGAGAAGAACAUCACAAAGAAUGCAUCCAGGGUUACGGCGGGAUUCGAACCCGCAACCUCUACGCUUAACAGAGCGUUUGGCGAGCGAUAUCUCUGGGCCAGGGAGGCCCCUUGCAAAUGUAUGUUGUACCAAUAAACACUAAAAUAAAUCAAUCAGGGGUGCAGUUUAGCAGAAAUCUGUAGUAAGCGACGCAUUUUUAAAUCUAAUUUAACUUUCUAAAACGUUUACUUCGUACAGUUUCUUUUAAUAAACGUGUUAAAACUUCUUCGCCUUUUGCAUUUUAAAUCCGAGAAGUUUAUCAAGCAAACAUGAGGGAUGCAAUUGAACCUAUUUUUAAACCAUGUCAGCAGUAUGCUAACUCCAUACUCAUAGUUGUUUGCAUUGCAACCGUAGCUGUCGAAAAGUUUCGAGUUCGUCGAGCAGAUCUCUUCGAGAAGAGUAAAGCAGUGAAGGCACUUGUGUGGACGGCAGCUACAAUCAACAUUGCCAUGAUCUCUUUCAGUGCCGUUUCUAGGGUAUAUGCUACACUCUAUGCGACUACACUAGUCUACACUCUUUUUAUGCCUUGGAAUGUUCUUUCGAGAUUUCACUAUACUUUGAUCCAUUCCCUGGUUUCUUGGAUACUGAUUGAUUUUCUGAUACAUUUCCAGUUCGUUCCAGAAUCUGACUUUGCGUUGCUCUUGACAAAGAAUUCCUGGUUAUUGAUGGCAGCACCGUUGGAAUACGGAAUACUGUAAAAAAGAUGAAGGUUUAAUUAUAUAUUUAUUUCCAGAUGAAUUGUAAUUUGCUGUGUUUUGGUUUAGAAUUGUUUUAAUAAUAUUUUAGUUCUUGCUCUGUAACUUUAGUGGUCUUAAUCAAUAAAUUUUGAUUCCUAUCUCA
rnacentral:lncRNA from 1 species